GUGAAGACCAAGUUAAUACCUUUCAUAGAGGAGCAAAGAAAGAAGCAGGAGAGAGAAGAACUGGGAUGGCAGAUGGCAGAAGAGAGAGGACGGAGGAGAAGGACACUUGAGUGACCGGAGAAAGACGUUUGGAGAUGGAAAAGCUAACGUUACCUUGUAAGCAUAUGACGUGGAUUAUUUUACCAGAUGGCAUUAAAUGUAUGGAAGAAGUUCCGAGUCAUUCAAUACUCCGGUAGCAUUUGAAAAUUUCCCUUGAGCUCCGCUACCGAUAGCCUAAAAGGUAAAAGCUCUUAACUUGACCCAUUAUUGGGCUAGUGUUGCUGAUUAUUCAUCUGGGUUUUUGGGGCCCAAAAGUUGUGUGGUGCCUUACGGGGUUUGCAAAGGGAAAAGGGUUUUUGCAUUUACAGAUCAUGCUGCAAAGAGAAUGCCACUCGCAAUAGAAUGGUCAAUGGUCUCCUUGUUAUGACCCAGUCGCUUUUCAACCCCUCCCUCUCCCUAUGCUCUGCCUGUGAUCGGAAACAGGUUGCUUAAGUUGGAAGAUGGUUCUUGGUUACUAUAACAGUGACAGAUAUAAUUCCCAAAUCUAAGGGACUUUUAAUUGGAUAAAUGUUGGUUAAAUUUUAUACGUGAAACUGAUCUGAUCAUCGAAUUAUGUAGCAAAUCAUUCUCAAUUUACUUUUGAGAGGAUUGAAAUGCUGGAUGUUUGGGACCUGCACAUUAUACUUUCCCAGCUAUUCAAAGGUAAAAAGCCUUCAAUACAAUGGCAUAGUUAUAAUUGUACCAUGUAAUAUUACAACAAAACUAUAAUCGCUGAAAACUGAGUCACACAAACCUUGAAUGGUGUUAUCACAUUUAUAGUAUUGUUCACAUGAUAUGGUGGUUUUAGUUGAGAA